CAUCAGCUCCUCCCCGAUCUCCAGCUGCACACCUUCACCCAGAACAUCCUCUGCCCGCAGCUGCACGAACCUCAAACUAGAACAUCAGCUCCUCCCAGGGCCUCAGCCACCAACCCCACCCAGAACAGCCUCUGCCCGCAGCUGCAAGACCCUCAAACUACAACAUCAGCUCCUCCCUGGGUCUCCAGCUCCAUGACCCUCAAUCUAGAACAUUAGCUUUUCCCUGAGUCUCCAGCUGAAAGACCCUCAAUGCAACAACAUCAGCUCCUCCUGGAGUUCUCCUCAGCCCACCCUCAAACUGGAACAUCAGCUCCUCCCCACCCCCACCU
rnacentral:lncRNA from 1 species